AUGAUCACUUUGGCACCACAUAUACUAAAACUGGAACUAUGCAGAGAAGAUCAGCAUGGCCCUUGUGUAAAGAUGACAUGCAAAUUCGCGAAGCAUUCCGUAUUUAA